rnacentral:rRNA from 1 species
GACAGAGGUGGCAAGCGUUGUUCGGAUUUAUUGGGUGUAAAGGGCAGGUAGGUGGCUAUGUAAGUCUGGUGUGAAAGCCCCGGGCUCAACCUGGGAAUUGCAUUCGAGACUGAAUAGCUAGGGUACGGUAGAGGGAAGUGGAAUUUCCGGUGUAGUGGUGAAAUGCGUAGAUAUCGGAAGGAACAUCAGUGGCGAAAGCGACUUCCUGGACCAGUACCGACGUUCAGGCACGAAAGCGUGGGGAGCAAACAGG